rnacentral:rRNA from 1 species
CAGGUCAGCAUACUGCCGUGAAUACGUUCCCGGGCCUUGUACACACCGCCCGUCACACCAUGAGAGUUGGGAAUACCCGAAGCCUGUGAGCCAACAAACGAGGCAGCAGUCGAAGGUAGAAUCAAUGAUUGGGGGUGAAGUCGUAACAAGGUAGC